GACGAACGCUGGCGGCGUGCUUAACACAUGCAAGUCGAACGGAAAGGCCCUGCUUUUGUGGGGUUCUCGAGUGGCGAACGGGUGAGUAACACGUGAGUAACCUGCCCUUGACUUUGUUAUAACUUCAGGAAACUUGUGCUAAUACCGGAUAGGAUCUCCUUCUGCAUGGUGGUGUUUGGAAAGUUUCGGCUGUUGGGGAUGGUCUCGCGGCUUAUCAGCUUGUUUGUGGGGUAGUGGCUUACCAAGGCUUUGACGGGUAGCCGGCCUGAGAGGGUGAACGGCGAAAUUGGGACUGAGAUACGGACCAGAAUACUACGGGAGGCAGCAGUGGGGAAUAUUGCACAAUGGGAGGAAGCAUGAUGCAGAAACGCAGCGUGCGGGAUGACGGCAUUCGGGUUGUAAAAAGAUUUAGAAUGUGACGAAGAGUGAGUGACGGUAAUGGGUAAAGAAGCACCGGCUAACUACGUG
rnacentral:rRNA from 1 species